AACGGCAGAGAGUGCUUGCACACUUUGGACGUCGACCGGCGCACGGGUGAGUAACGCGUAUCCAACCUGCCCUUUACUUGGGGAUAACCCGUUGAAAGACGGACUAAUACCCAAUGAUAUUCAUUGAUGACAUCUGAUUUGAAUUAAAGAUUUAUCGGUAUAGGAUGGGGAUGCGUCUGAUUAGCUUGUUGGUGAGGUAACGGCUCACCAAGGCAACGAUCAGUAGGGGUUCUGAGAGGAAGGUCCCCCACAUUGGAACUGAGACACGGUCCAAACUCCUACGGGAGGCAGCAGUGAGGAAUAUUGGUCAAUGGGCGAGAGCCUGAACCAGCCAAGUAGCGUGCAGGAUGACGGCCCUAUGGGUUGUAAACUGCUUUUAUGUGGGGAUAAAGUGCGUGACGUGUCAUGCAUUGCAGGUACCACAUGAAUAAGGACCGGCUAAUUCCGUGCCAGCAGCCGCGGUAAAAGGG
rnacentral:rRNA from 1 species